rnacentral:lncRNA from 1 species
CGAACAGAAUCUUAGAAUAUCCAGAACUUAAGAAAAGUCUAUUUGAAAAAAAGUUUUAUAAAGUUACCACACAGAAUAAAAUUCUGUCCUCUUUUAUGUCUGCCUAAAAGGCAGACUGCAUAAAUAUACUGAAAGAAAAAGAUUCAAACCCAUCCUGUUGAUUCAAAUAAUCAAGAAGUUGACUGCUAGGCACUUGAAACAAUUUGUCUCAAGUAAACUCUUAUGUAUUAUUUAGAUUAGCAUUAAAAUCCUACACAUAUAAUGAUUAAGACCAGCAUUAUUAACUGCAAAAAACCUGCAAAAUCUCCUAUAAUUCUUAUUCUUUUUAUGCAAUAUAAAUAUUCUAAAAAGGCUCUACUUACUUUUUCUUCAGGUACUGAAU